GUCUCACCUGCACCCACCGCCCAGGGUCCCACCACCUCCUGCUCUAGCUGUCAGUGUGAGUCCUCCAUGAGACUCCAAGUCCUGCCUUCUUGGAGUCCCGGUGUAGGAGAAGCCCCAGAUCCCAGCACGGCUAGCAUGCAGAAGGCUCUCCCCUCUCUGAUAUAAAACUGAAGGGCUGUCGGGAAAAACACAAAGCCUUCAAGGAAGCGGCGUCUGAAGAAGGCUCCGUGAUGCAGAGGGCACCCUGACCUUUCCUAAGGAGCCGUUCAAAACACAAGGCUUCUCAUUGGUCGUUAGCACAGUCUGCCUUCGUGGGACAAUGGACAUGAUUUGGUAAUGAGCAGGAGGGGUGCCAGUGCUGCAUUGCUCAGAUUCCAAGCUGACUCCCAAUGUUCCUGGUAAUGAACUGUCCUGUUUUUGUUUUGUUUUGUUUUUUCGACUGGAGUCACGGUUGUCAUUUUUGGGUACAGCAUUAUAUUCUUCACAUGUACUAACUGCGUGCCAGACAGCAUCGAUCCUAACUGCAGCUACUUUCCCGGCUGCCCUGGACUUGAAUAUUGCAUUUGGAGUUAGCCUUAGUCGGUGCUCAUUGCUGUGAAGAGACACCACGAUCACAGCAACUCUUACGAUAGAAAGCAUUUCAUUGGGAUGGGCUUAUCUCUUCAGAGGUUUGGUCCAUUGCCAUCAUGGUGGGGAGAAUGAACGCACACAGACAGACAUGGUUCUGGAGAAGAUGCUGAGAGUUCUACAUCUGGAUCCACAGGCAGCAGGAAGAGACGGUGAGCCCUGAGGCCUGGGUUAAGCUUCUGAAACCUCAGAGCUGGAGUUCAGUAACACGCUUCCUCAACAAGGCCACACCUUUUAAUCCUUCUCAAGUAUGCCAUUUGCUGAUGACUAAGCAUUCAAAUAUAAGACCAUGUGGGGACCAGUCUUAUUCAAACCACCACAGAAGCCCUUGAAUAUAUACCAUAGCACAUUUUAGGCAUUUAAUAAAAAUGUAAUCAUUGCUUCUAUUUACACAGGAUGAUCUUAAAUGCUUUCUGGAAUGGGUGAUAAAAACACAAAAUCAGACAGCCAUCACAGUAAAGCUGAGCACCCCAAGUUUCCAUGAAAACCCCACAGUGAGACCCAAAGAUAAAUUUGGAAGGGAUCAUAUAAGAAAUGCCUACUAAAAUGUGUAUCAUUUAUUUAAAAAAAUUGUGCAGUACAUCAGCCAGUUGUA